GAUGAACGCUGGCGGCAUGCCUAAUACAUGCAAGUCGAACGAGAGGAAGGAAAGCUUGCUUUUCUGAAUCUAGUGGCGAACGGGUGAGUAACACGUAGGUAACCUGCCCAUGUGCCCGGGAUAACUUCUGGAAACGGAUGCUAAAACCGGAUAGGUAGCAGACAAGCAUUUGACUGCUAUUAAAGUGGCUAAGGCCAUGAACAUGGAUGGACCUGCGGUGCAUUAGCUAGUUGGUGAGGUAACGGCCCACCAAGGCGACGAUGCAUAGCCGGCCUGAGAGGGCGGACGGCCACAUUGGGACUGAGACACGGCCCAAACUCCUACGGGAGGCAGCAGUAGGGAAUUUUCGUCAAUGGGGGGAACCCUGAACGAGCAAUGCCGCGUGAGUGAGGAAGGUCUUCGGAUCGUAAAGCUCUGUUGUAAGAGAAAAACGACAUUCAUAGGGAAUGAUGAGUGAGUGAUGGUAUCUUACCAGAAAGUCACGGCUAACUACGUGCCAGCAGCCGCCGCAG
rnacentral:rRNA from 1 species